rnacentral:rRNA from 1 species
CACGGGGGGAGCAAGCGUUGUUCGGAAUCACUGGGCGUAAAGGGCGUGUAGGCGGUCAGGUAAGUGGAAUGUGAAAUGCCUCGGCUCACCCGAGGACCUGCAUCCCAAACUGCCUGGCUUGAGUAUGGGAGAGGAUGAGGGAAUUCCUGGUGUAGCGGUGAAAUGCGUAGAUAUCAGGAGGAACACCGGUGGCGAAGGCGCUCAUCUGGCCCAAUACUGACGCUGAGGCGCGAAAGCUAGGGGAGCAAACGGG